rnacentral:rRNA from 1 species
CGGGACGGGUGAGUAAUGUCUGGGAAACUGCCUGAUGGAGUGGGAUAACUACUGGAAACGGUAGCUAAUACCGCAUAACGUCGCAAGACCAAAGAGGGGGACCUUCGGGCCUCUUGCCAUCGGAUGUGCCCAGAUGGGAUUAGCUAGUAGGUGGGGUAAAGGCUCACCUAGGCGACGAUCCCUAGCUGGUCUGAGAGGAUGACCAGCCACACUGGAACUGAGACACGGUCCAG